rnacentral:rRNA from 1 species
UGCCAGCCGCCGCGGUAAUACGUAGGGAGCGAGCGUUAUCCGGAAUCACUGGGCUUAAAGGGUGCGUAGGCGGACUUGUAGGUAUGUCGUGAAAUCCCUCGGCUCAACCGGGGAACUGCGGUGUAAACCACAAGUCUUGAGGUAGGUAGAGGUUGUCGGAACGUUCGGUGGAGCGGUGAAAUGCGUUGAUAUCGAACGGAACGCCUAAGGUGAAGACAGGCAACUGGGCCUUACCUGACGCUGAGGCACGAAAGCGUGGGGAUCAAACAGGAUUAGAUA